rnacentral:lncRNA from 1 species
AUGCACACUCACCCCGCACGCUCAUUCACACCACCAUGCACAUUCACCCUGCACGCUCAUUCACACCAUCGCACACACUCACCAUGCACUCACGCCACAGCACCUCUCGUACUACACCUACCCCACCUAUGCGGCACACUCGUUCACACCACCUCACGCUCAUAUGCUGCGCACAACCUGCACUUAUUCACACAACUCCACACUUGCACACCUGACACCCAAUGCCCACACUCACACACUCACACGUCCUGCACCGUUUCACACAAUCCCACACACUGCACACCCAACGCUCACACUGUACACAGCCCUCACAGCCUGCGCACCCUCGUUGACACACAUACUCCCACUUCCACACCUGACACCCAACACACACACUCUCACACCGUGCACACCCAUUCACAUGACCCCACGUUCACAAACCUCACACCUCCACACCCCUACACACUGCACAUACGCCACACACCCUUCACACUCAUUCACGUGACCCUACACUCGCACACCCAUACCCCGACACCCACAUUCACACACAUUCUGUAUGUACAUAGAAGCCACAACAUUGCACUCAUUUACACAACACACAUGCCCAUGUGCCUCACGCAGUGCAACACAACCCGCAUACCUCACAGACUGCACUCACAGUUUGCAUUACACACCUCAUACACACAGCACCCCUUUGCACACUUAGAUACAACUUACCCAGUCUCAGGUUCACACCGGGCUCUUCUGUCCUGGCUCGGCCCCGCAGGUGAUUGCGGGGGGCGAGUGGCUGUAAGCCACGCACCCCCCCCCCCAAGCACGUUAAGGAAACAGAGGGUGAUUAAUCAUCAUUUAGCAAGUGUGCCCUUGCUCUUUGGAUGCUGUCUGUUCCUCAGGGCCACGCCGUGCGUGUCUUCUCGUCCUCUAUUUGUGGGUGAGACCCAGGCUCGGGGAGGGGAGGGGAGGGGAGGUGCCCAGGCCGCCUGCUCUCUGGAGCAGCGGGGCCUUAGCGGCCGGAGCACGUCCUCUUGCCCAAAUGGGUUUAAGGCUUUAGCUCCCGCAGGCGCCCGGCGAGCGGAGGCUCAGCCUGUGUCGCAGCAGGCGCCGUGUCCGGGGAAGGCGAGCAGGCGGCUGCCGAGACUCAGAGGACUCCAAACGCGCAGAGAAGCUUUACCGCCAACUCUGGCAAAACAGCCAGGACUGCGAGCGCCCAGAGCCCAGAGCAGGGCCGUCCGAGCACCCAUGGGCUCCCCAUGCCCCCCGCCUGCGGGCCCUGGGCAGCCCUUCAGCACUGAGCCGGUCGGGGAGCGCCCCCAGGCGCCCCAUGGUCUCUUCGGACCAGGCUCACCUUUCUCCUUCCCGGGCCUGGCGCCUGGUCUGAAUUUUGGAUGUUAUUUAAUUAUUCAAUUUUUAGCGAGUGCGCGUGAGCAAGAAAGAGCAGGGGCGGGAAGCAGGGGCAGAGAGGGAAUCCUUAGCAGGCUCCAGGCCCAGCAUGCAGCCCGUUGUGAGGCUGCAUCUCACGGCCCUGAGAUCAUGACCUGA